rnacentral:rRNA from 1 species
AGUAAAGUGGCGUACGGGUGAGUAACACGUGGAUCAUCUGCCCUAGAGUGGGGAAUAACGAUGGGAAACCGUCGCUAAUACCGCAUAAUCCCGAGAGGGGAAAGCCGAAAGGCGCUCAAGGAGGAGUCCGCGGCCGAUUAGCUUGUUGGUAGGGUAAUGGCCUACCAAGGCUGCGAUCGGUAGCCGGCCUGAGAGGGCACACGGCCACACUGGCACUGAAACACGGGCCAG